rnacentral:tRNA from 1 species
GCCCCGGUGGUGGAAUUGGUAGACACAAGGGAUUUAAAAUCCCUCGGCGUUCGCGCUGUGCCGGUUCAAGUCCGGCCCGGGGCA